rnacentral:lncRNA from 1 species
UACAACAGAAACUUCAAUUUCAUUGCAUUGUUGGAUAGGAGAAUUUACAUUGAGAUAGUCCAAAUAUGUACCUGGGUGUGAACAGAAAUAGGAGAAGGAGAGAGUUAGUCGACAAUCACAAGAAACGGCAAUCACAGUUGAUCACAAACAGCCCAACAAUAAGUUCAGUAACCUGGAAAUGUUUAAAUCAAACAGAGUUGAUAGAUCCACUCCGAAACAGUAUCAAAGUGACCUACAAAUGCACACAGAUGAACAAAUAGCCAACAACAACCCCCAAACCCGACUCAAUCAAACAAUUCCAACUCGAAGUCACUCAAACCAAUUCGAACCCAUUCAAAACUAAUCCAAUUAGAAUCCAGGAACUCUCUGAAUCUUCAAAUUACCCAAAAAUGAACUCAAAAAUGUAAAUCAGCUAUCAAAACUAGAAUGUAGCUAUGAAAUUGAAUGAAACAAUUUUUUUUUUAUUUUUUACUGGAUUUUUUUAUUUUUGUUGUUUUUCUUUUAGAACUAAGAAC